AGCUUUGCACAGUGGCAGUAUCGUAGCCAAUGAGGUUUAUCUGAGGCAGGAUUAUUGCUAAUUGAAAAAUUAGCGUGGCGUAGUGUUGCACGUCUAUAAUCCUAGCUACUCAGGAGGCUGAGGCAGGAGAAUUGCUUGAACCUGGGAGGUGGAGGUUUCAG
rnacentral:snRNA from 1 species